GGGGCGGUGGCCAGGCGGUUGCCCUGACAACGGGAAACCGACAGUCUCUUCCCGGUUUUCUAAUCACAGAAUUACUGGAGCGUCAAGAAGCGCCUGCAUGCUUGGAAGGGCUUCCAGGCAGAUGAACACACCUCAGCACCGGGUGGCAGUUUCCCAGGGUGCAACCCGGACCGGCUCUGGGUCACACUGACAAGGAUAACAAGGAUUAACAAUUUCCAGAGACAGCCCGUACAUAGAGGGAAAGUUUACUGAAAAAAAUGAAGAGGGGUCAGGGCAAGGCGAGGAGCAAGAAGCAUCCCCAAGGAAACAGAGAAGACCAGUACAACUGUACCUCUUUGCCAGCUGCACCAUCCGUACCAGGUGGCACGUUCUAGAGGCCAUAGCCUCUGUUCUGGUCAUCUCCAGUCUCCUGGGGUGGGAGUGUACAGCUCAGAGACUGCCACACUGCAAGACGAAGGGGCUGGAUGGACGGAAGUAAGAGGCGGAACCCUGCACACCCUCGGCCUCAGCCCCACUGAGUCUCCAAUGGGGCCACGCUUCUGAGUGCACCUCCCCCUGUCAUCUGUAAUGUGAGGGGGAACCAGGCUUGAUAUGGCAUUCCCAAUCCAGGGC
rnacentral:antisense_RNA from 1 species